CGCGCGCCUAGGGACGCCCGCGCAGAUCUCCGGUCGCACGCCUGGGCCGCAUGGUGGUAGUGGGCGCGUGAACUGAACCGACGCCACCCAGGAGCUUCCCAACCGUGCAGUGGUCAUUCACCUUGCUCGGCGCCCCUCGUGGCGGAACAGGGCCGCCGGCUCCCCGACUGCGAGGGGACUGCUGGGACGCACGGUGCCUCCACCGAAGCCAUGCUGCUCGGAAGAGGGGCAGAGGCGUAGGCCUUGUCGCCUUUGAGCCCCUUUCGGGGAGAAAACUAACUGGACUAGCCUGAAAGCCCCACGGCCUUGGGGGCCGCCAGCUCCCCAGGCUCUGACUGUUCUCAGUCUUCAAGAAGCUGUAAGCAGUCGCACUGAACCUUGCUACUCUGCUCUCUCACACCUGAAUCACCUGAAUUAUUUCUUGCGAGAAGACAAGAACCCCAAGACUUCUCUCCAGUGACAGCACCAGGGUCACACCUGAGAAGCCUGCACCAUUGUGUCUCCGCACCACUCCGCCAAAGUUUCAACAUGGCCAAGUUCCCGCGUGCAUUCUGGGGGCUGAUUUGUGGUUGUGCCCAUCCUGACCUGCACCAAGGAAUGAGGUCAGCAGGCCAUUAACAGGGAGCUGGAUCAGAAGCAGGGCAGCUCAUCAGGAGACAGCACCCAUAUGGGACAAUAGCUCCGCAGGUGGCGGCUUUACCCUCCAUUCCACAACGCAAGCCCAGCCGAGACACUACCUGGAAAAGGCGUUCUCUGGGCUGGACACAGAUGUCUCACCAGGCUGCAGACCCCCGCCCCCUCGGGCACCACGGAGCUUCUGGACAUGGUGAGGGGCGCCUUGGGAUCCCCUUCAAAGCCUGAAGGGCCCAGCCCAGGGAAGUGACUGUUGGGAGAUGUCAUCUCCAGAGGUGGGGAGGUGUCUUCCUGUGUGGAAGCGGGCAUUCUGCUGGGAAAGUUCUAGUGCAUUCUCUUUUGUAAGAAAAACGCAGCCCCAGAGUGCGUGUCUAGGAGGCUUCUUCCUUUGUGUUCAUGUUUCACACAGUGGACUGCUCUGGCUUGGAGUAGCCACAGCAGUCAGCUGGCUUCCCUUGAAAAGGACUCCUACUCGGGGUGCUGGAGCUGUCACCCAGCACCUUUCCCACAGGCACCUGAGUGCAGUUGAAGACGUUAGUGUUACCGGAGAAAUGCAGGGUUCUCCUCUUCGCACAAGAAAGAAUUCAGGCGUGAGACAAAGAGUAGUGGGAGGUAAAAUAGCAAGGUUUAUUAGGGAAGGGACAUCCGUAAGGAUGCAUGGGCACCUCUCCAGACAGGACCUGGGCAAGAGUGCAGUGGCUCGGACUUGGGGGGGGGGGGUUACAUGGUUGAGUGGAGAGAUUACACCUGGCCAGACCAGGCGGGCUGAGCACCCAGUCCAGCAGUCCGGUUGAGGGGGGGGAGGGUGUUAAGGAGAUGGGUCUUGCUUCCCCACCUCUGCUCCUCUUGGAACAAAGGAAAACUUCUGAGUUUUCCCCUGAAGGUAUCAGACAGGAGGAAGCCUAGCUGGUGCUAUCCUGAGUUUAGAGGAAGGGUGAGCAAGACCCCUGGAGAAUGGGGAUCCCGAGCAGGGUGGUUGAAAUGCAGAUACUGGGCUGCACCUGGGAGACUGUGGAAGAUUUGUCAGGCAGAAGGGGCGGGGACCCCCACCUGGCAGGUUAUCAGGUAGAAGGGGGCAGGGCAGGAUGCGAAUACCAGGCUGCCCCUGAAACAUUGUCAGGAUGACUUUGAGAUGCAGAUGCAUAUGCUGGACGUAGAUGUCUUCUCUUUAAAUGUCACACACACAUAAGCUCAUAACUGACUUCCUACCUAACAGGUUUCUGCAUACACAGCAGUAAUACACACGAGGGGCCUUCAAAACAUUCACAGAAAACAGGCAUUUGGCACAGCUGUUAGGACACCACAUGGGCUGCCUGCAUCCCAUGUCCCAGUGCAUGGGUUUAAGUCCCAGCUCUACUUUCGGCUCUGGCUUCCUGCUAAUGCAUGCCCCGGGAGGCAUCGGGGGAUGGCUCAAGUAGUUGGGCCCCUGCCAGUCACGUGGAAACCCAGACUGAGUGGUCUUUACUUCAGCCUGGCCCAGCUGGGGAAUGAACCAGCAGACAGAAAAUCAGUUUUGGGACCAGUGCUGUGGCGUAUUGGGUUAAUGCUCUGGCCUGAAGCACCGGUUCAAGACCUGGCUGCUCCACUUCUGAUCCAACUCUCUGCUGUGGCCUGGGAAAGCAGUAGAAUAUGGCCCAAGUCCUUGGGCCCCUGCACCCACAUGGGAGACCCGGAAGAAGCUCCUGGCUCCUGGCUUAGGAUCGGUGCUGUGCCGGCCAUUGUGGCAAUUGGGGAGUGAACCAUCGGAUGGAAGAUCUCUCUCUCUCUCUUUCUCUCUCUCUGCCUCUCUUCUCUCUGUGUAACUCUUUCAAAUAAAUAAAUAAAUCUUAAAAAAAAAAACUUCACAGAAAAUUCAUAUAAUACAAAACCUAUACAUGGAUUUUUUUAAAAAAUCAGUUUCAAUCUCACUUUCUUUUUCUUCCUCUUUCUUUAAAAUACAUAAAAAUAAAUGUGUUACUUUCUAAAAAUGAUCAUGCAGGAGAAGGCAUUUAGCCCAGCUGUUAGGAUGCCUGCAGCCCACAUCAGAGUGCCUGGGUCAGAGUCCCUGCUCCAGCUUCUUGCUAAUGCAGACCCUGGAGGCAGCAGUCAUGGAUCCAGUACGUGGGCUCCUGCCACCUAUGUGAGAGAUGUGGAUCACAUUCCCUGCUCCUGACUCUGCCCCAGUCCAGCCCUGCCACUGUGGCAUUUCAGGAGUAAACCAGCAGCAGAUGCGAGUGCUCUGUUACUCUCUGCCUUUCGAGUAAAUAAGAAUGAUUUUUUAAAAAAUAUAUUUAUCAGAACUGGUGCUGUGGUGUCGCAGAUAAAGCUGCUGCCUGCAGUGCCAGCAUCUCAUUCAAGUCCUGGCUGCUCAACUUCCAAUCCAGCUCUCUGCUGUGGCCUGGGAAAGCAGUAGAAGGUGGCCCAAGUGCUUGGAACCCUGAACCCUCGUGGGAGACUUGAAGCUCCUGCCUUCAGAUCGGCUUAGCUUUGGCCAUUGCACCCAUUUGGGGAGUGAACCAGCGAUGCAAGACCUUUCUCUCUUGCCUCUGCCUCUCUGUAACUCUGCCUUGCAAAUAAAUAAAUCAAUAUUAAAAAAAAAAAAAAGAUCUAUUGCCAAUCCAAAGCCAGGAGCUAGGAUCUUCUUCCUGGUCUCCCACGUGGGUGCAGGGGCCCAAGGACUUGGACCAUCUUCUGCUGCUUUCCCAGCUGUGUUAGCAGAGAGUGGGAUCAGAAGAGAAGCAGCCGGCCAGCACUGUGGCUCAAUAGGCUAAUCCUCUGCCUGCGGCGCCAGCACACAGGGUUCUAGUCCUGGUCAGGGCGCCGGAUUCUGUCCUGUUUGCUCCUCUUCCAGUCUAGCUCUCUGCUGUGGCCCAAGAUUGCAGUGGAAGAUGGCCCAAGUUCUUGGGCCCUGCACCCGCACAGGAUACCAGGAGAAGCACCUGGCUCCUGGCUUUGGAUCAGUGCCUUGCGCUGGCCACAGCAGUCAUUGGGGGGGGUGAACCAACGGAAAAGGAAGACCUUUCUCUCUUUGUCUCUCUCUCUCACUGUCUACUCUGCCUGUCAAAAAAAAAAAAAAAAAAAAAGAA